rnacentral:rRNA from 1 species
AGCAAUACGUCAGCGGCAGACGGGUGAGUAACGCGUGGGAACAUACCUUUUGGUUCGGAACAACACAGGGAAACUUGUGCUAAUACCGGAUAAGCCCUUACGGGGAAAGAUUUAUCGCCGAAAGAUUGGCCCGCGUCUGAUUAGCUAGUUGGUGAGGUAACGGCUCACCAAGGCGACGAUCAGUAGCUGGUCUGAGAGGAUGAUCAGCCACAUUGGGACUGAGACACGGCCCAAACUCCUACGGGAGGCAGCAGUGGGGAAUAUUGGACAAUGGGCGCAAGCCUGAUCCAGCCAUGCCGCGUGAGUGAUGAAGGCCCUAGGGUUGUAAAGCUCUUUUGUGCGGGAAGAUAAUGACGGUACCGCAAGAAUAAGCCCCGGCUAACUUCGUGCCAGCAGCCGCGGUAAUACGAAGGGGGCUAGCGUUGCUCGGAAUCACUGGGCGUAAAGGGUGCGUAGGCGGGUCUUUAAGUCAGGGGUGAAAUCCUGGAGCUCAACUCCAGAACUGCCUUUGAUACUGAGGAUCUUGAGUUCGGGAGAGGUGAGUGGAACUGCGAGUGUAGAGGUGAAAUUCGUAGAUAUUCGCAAGAACACCAGUGGCGAAGGCGGCUCACUGGCCCGAUACUGACGCUGAGGC